GCCUGGGUGGCUCAGUCGGUGGAGCAUCCGACUUCGGCUCAGGUCAUGAUCUUGCGGUCUGUGAGUUCGAGCCCCACGUCGGGCU
rnacentral:tRNA from 1 species